rnacentral:rRNA from 1 species
GAUGAACGCUGGCGGCGUGCUUAACACAUGCAAGUCGAACGGUGAAGCGCCUUCCUUUUUGGUGGGUGUGGAUGAGUGGCGAACGGGUGAGUAACACGUGAGUAACCUGCCCCCUUUUUCUUGAUAACCGCAUGAAAGUGUGGCUACUACGUGAUAUUCUGGGUCUGUCGCAUGAUGGGUCUGGGAAAGUUAUUGUUUCGGUGGGGGAUGGGCUCGCGGCCUAUCAGCUUGUUGGUGGGGUGAUGGCCUACCAAGGCGGUGACGGGUAGCCGGCCUGGGAGGGUGGACGGUCACGGUGGGGAGGAGACGCGGCGCAGACUCCUACGGGAAGCAGCAGUGGAGAAUAUUGAACGGUGGGAGGAAGGAUGAAGCAGCGACGCGGCGUGAGGGAUGGAGGCCUUAGGGUUGUAAACCGCUUUCGCGAGUGAAGCAGGCCUGCCUCGUUUGUGGGUGGGUUGACGGUAGCUGGAUAAGAAGCGCCGGCUAACUACGUG